rnacentral:rRNA from 1 species
AGUUCGAUUCUGGCUCGAUUGAACGCUGGCGGGAUGCUUUACACAUGCAAGUCGAACGGCAGCACGGACUUCGGUCUGGUGGCGAGGAAGUGAACGGGUGAGUAGUAUCGGAACGUGCCUAGUAUGGGGAUAACUACGCGAAAGCGUAGCCAAUACCGCAUACGUACCCUUCGGGGAAAGCGGGGGACCUUCGGGCCUCGCACUGUUGCGAUGGGCUGAGGACAGAUUAGCUAGUUGGUGGGGUAACGGCUCACUCAAGGCGACGAUCCGUAGCUGGUUUGAGAGGAUGACCAGCCACACUGGGACUGAGACACGGCCCAGACUCCUACGGAGGCAGCAGUGGGGAAUUUGGAUAAAUGGGGGAAACCCUGAUCCAGCCAUCCCGUGUGCGAUGAAGGCCCUCGGGCUGUAAAGCACUUUUGGCAGGAAGAAACGGCACGGGAUAAUACCCCGUGCAACUAACGGUACCUGCAGAAUAAGCACCGGCUAACUACGUGCCAGCAGCCGCGGUAAUAUUGAAGUGCUGUUAACGGAAUUACUGGCGAAAGCGUGCGCAGGCGGUUCGGAAAGAAAGAUGUGAAAUCCCAGAGCUUAACUUUGGAACUGCAUUUUUUAAUCACUGAGCUAGAGUGUGUCAGGAGGGAGGUGGAAUUCGCGUAGCAGUGAAAUGCGUAGAUAUGCGGAGGAACACCGAUGGCGAAGGCAGCCUCCUGGGAUAACACUGACGCUCAUGCACGAAAGCGUGGGGAGCAAACAGGAUUGAGAUACUCCUGGUGAACCACGCCCCAAACGGGAUAACGCCAGCUGUUGGGGCCUUCGGGCCUUUUUGGUAGCGCAGCUAACGCGUGAAGUUGACCGCCUGGGGAGUACGGUCGCAAGAUUAAACCCCAAAGGAAUUGACGGGGACCCGCACAAGCGGUGGAUGAUGCGGAUUAAUUCGAUGCAACGCGAAAACCUUACCUACCCUUGACAUGUCUGGAAUCCCGAAGAGAUUUGGGAGUGCUCGCAAGAGAACCGGAACACAGGUGCUGGCAUGGCUGUCGUCAGCUCGUAGCCGUGAGAUGUUGGUUGGUCCUGCAACGAGCGCAACCCUUGUCAUUAGUUGCUACGAAAGGGCACUCAUCGAGAUCGCCGGUGAGCAACCGGAGGAAGGUGGGGAUGACGUCAAGUCCUCAUGGCCCUUAUGGGUAGGGGCUUCACACGUCAUACAAUGGUCGGGACAGAGGGUCGCCAACCCGCGAGGGGGAGCCAAUCCUAGAACCCGAUCGUAGUCCGGAUCGCAGUCUGCAACCUGACUGCGUAGUCGGAAUCGCUAGUAAUCGCGGAUCAGUGAUGUCGCGGUGAAUAUGUUCCCGGGUCUUGCAUGACACCGCCUGUCAUAAUCAGGAGUGGGUUUUACCAGAAGUAGUUAGCUCAAUCCGCAGAGGGCGAUUAACACGGUAGGAUUCAUGACUGGGGUGAAGUCGUAACAAGGU